AGUGAGGAAGUCAGCCACUGAAAAGACAGCGGCAGCUAUCAAUUAACUUAAUUCAAUGAUGUCACAGAAUGGGAGGAGAGGUGCCCCCCUUCAGAGCAGGAGCCUGGCGGCAGAUGACUCCGUUGCCUCCCAGAGUUCUGCCUCUGUUGUUUCCACUGGUGAGGUCACCCCUCAAGGACAUUACUGCAGGUCCCGGCAACACACUUGGACACACGUCACUAUCUACCUUGUCAGGCCACAUAACUGGAAAGUAACGUGUAAUAAAUCAGCG